GCCUCCUUGGCUCAGUUGGCUAGAGCGCAGGUCUCAUAUAUUGAAUAUGAGUGAUGAGAAUCACGUAAUCCUGAGGUCGCAAGUUCGAGCCUUGCAGGGGGCA